ACCUCGGUGGUGUAGUGGUAGCGCACACUCCCGGUAUGGAUGAAAAGCGGAUUCGACUCCCGCCUGAGGUC